UCUAAUACUCCUCUCUCUCCCUUUCACCUGUAAUUUCCUUUUCACAAUAACUUCAGUCUUCAGCACUGUUUCUCUCAAAACUUUGAAUGGGUUUUUGUACAUUCUUUUUCAAGUGAUUAUUCAGUUAAUAACAGUCAGAUUGGUGUGAAGAACAGCAGUUCAUCAAAUUGUAUGGAAUUGGAAGGGUUAUUCGAUUCGCUAUCAGAAUGCUGGGAACAGUGGCCCUGCUCUAGUUUUAGCUCAUGGUUUUGGAGCAAACAGGACACUUCCUCUUUCUUCCUCUCCAGUUGUUGCUUGGAAACUGCCUUCUCUUGCCAACUUAUUCCAGCAACAAAUCCACCUCCCGCAAGGACUUCCAGCACCGACCUGCUGCUGGAAACCUCCUCCUGCUGCCGAUUCUUUGCUGCUGUUUCCUCUUGAUUUCUGCCGUAGCUUCUCCUGGCUGGUUCUCAUCAAACCCUCCCCUUCAGAGUAUGGAUGUGGGAUGCCAUUCUUGGUUCUCUCAAUGAAAGCAUCAAUGAUGGAAACUCAAGAAGAGAAAGAUAGGUUCAGAAAAGUUUCUCAAAGGUGUUUGAUAUUUUUCUUAUUGCUUAUUGCUUCUUCUUUUUUUUCUUGAUGAAAGCUAUUUAUAGCCUUACAUUAUAGCCUAACUAGAAUUCUGAUAAAAAGAAAAUUGCAACACUAAUAAAAAUAAUCCUAAUCUAAGCUAGAUAACUCCUUCAGAAUUCAGAAUUCCUUAAGUAGAGAGCCUAUUCCUGUCAGUUUCUGUUUCUGAUUUCAAAAUAAAUUCUUCCACAUCAUAGAAAUCCUUGGUUCUCAUCAGGUUGACUGAACAUUUAUAUGGAAUUGUUGCUAUGGUAACAGUUAAUGCUGGCUGGUACACCUUUUCAGAGGCUAAUAGGUGUCAGUAUUCUUUAUGUCUUGUACACAAUAUGGCAAUAAAACUGAAGUUAUGUUUCUGUUUGGUCUUGAAUGUGUUUCUCUAGCAUAUGAUGUAAGCAAAGAGGCUGAACUUAUUUUACCGUGUUAGUCUGUAAACAUUUAGCAUAGAUAUAGAAUAGGGAAUUUGAGGUCAAAAGAGUGUUUAUCAUGAAGUAACUGCCAGAGAGCUGCUACCUUCGAGAUUGAGAAACUGGAGUCAUAUUCUCAUACAAGGAGCCAAAUCUAGUGUAUUGUAAAUGUCUGAGCUAGAAAAAUAACUCCUUUUUAGCUAUUGCAGUCCUUUUCAUUCCAGAAUAGAGCUGCUAUAAACCAUGAUUCAGAACUCGUAUUAUAAAAGGAUUGUUUGCAAUUCUGCUUUAAUAGAGAUACGAGCUUCUAAGAUUAUCUUGAAAUCCGAAGGCUGCCAUAGGAAAGAAAGAAAUUUAACAGAAUAAUGCAUGUCUCGUGAUAUACUUGGUGAUGAUUUUGUAUUAGUUUUCUUCUCUAAUCUCUUUGUUUUUGAACUUAAUAUGUAUAGGUCAUGACUGACAACUCACUUCUUCCUUGCACUGACCAUUGGAAAAAAACUAUCCCAGUUCUUGCAAAAUCACAUAAGAGUAUAUUCAAUUGAUGUCAUUGGUUAUGGAUUCUCUCAUCAAAACCUUGCGAAUUUGGAGAUAAAUCCUUUUGUACAUUUGAGACAUGGGCUACUCAGCUAUAUGACUCCUGUGUCGAUGUAGUCAAAGAUGAGGCUUUCUUCCUAUGCAAUUCCAUAGGAGGUAAUCAUCUUUUUGAUGUUUUGGUUAUGUAGAUGAAUCCUUUGGUUUUUCCUUGUUAUUUUUAGCAAAUGUUUGCUGCUUAUUUUAGUUAUAUAUGCUUGUCUGUCAGUACUUUUAGAUGUCAUAGCAACACAGUUUUUAUUUGUCGAGAAUAAAUGUCUGAGCAAAAAUUAUAUGGACUGCCAUUUUAGUUAAAUACAGUGAGAUGAAUGCUUGGAAACUCAUGGUGAUCAUAAUUUUUGCAUCUUAGUUUUCCGGUCGUUAUGCAGAAGUUGUUGGUCUUCAGGCUUCAGUUAUAGACCCACAGAUCUGUGAAGGCAUUAUAUUGUUAAUUAUAUCUUUGCGUUUGCUACACAUUAAAAGGCAGCCAUGAUUUGGUAGGCCUUUUAUCAGAGUCUGCUGAGGUAAACAGAUAUGGUUUCUUUUGUUAGUCACGAAGUUUUAAACUUGCCAUCUUUAACUUUAGCUGUUUUUGCAGGAAUGCUGCUUUGGGAAAAAUUUGCUUCAACUCAGUUGCCACUCCAGAGUCUGUGAGAAACAUUCUGUGUCUGGUGUUGUUUGGUGGCAUGUUAAGUAUUUUCCUUUCAAAGAACGAUGUUUUUUUUCUUUUUUACUGGAUGUUGGCAGAGCCCUACAUGUGAUAUCCAAAGUAAGUUUCUCAUGGAGCUUCUUAACAAAUGGUGGAUACUUUUACCCUUGUGCUAGAAAAGAUAACCGUUUGAUUAUAUUUGUUGAUGAGCAUGAAGGAUUCAGCACCUCAUCUUGUGAACCCCUCGUGGAGUCAUUGGUAGCAUGUAUUGCAUCAUAGCAAGUGUUUCUACUGUUUGAUAGUAGACAUCUUCUGGGUUCUUUCUAUGGUUCUAUAAUUACUAGUCCAAUCUUCCUAACCGUGAAUCGCAAGUAAUUAUAAAAAUGUUGGGUUGACAUUCAAGAUGGCGUGCUGCGAUUUACCAAACAUCUUCUGGGUUCUUUCUAUGGUUCUAUAAUUACUAGUCCAAUCUUCCUAACCGUGAAUCGCAAGUAAUUAUACAAAUGUUGGGUUGACAUUCAAGAUGGCGUGCUGCGAUUUACCAAACCACCAACCCGAGUUUGACAUCGUGUUGUUGGUUCUUGUAAAAGUUCCUGUAGAACACUGUGGUGAUGCUCAUCAUUUUGACUCUCUGGAUCUUAAGGCUCUGAUGGCCCCUGACAGCAAUUCUUUGUCGGCUCCAUGCCCCUAAUCAAUCAAAGUGGCAAUCAUACAAAUUAGCAAAAAGAUUGGCACACAUGCCAUGUUCAAGGUAUACAAGAAGUUAAAAGAGCCGUAACAGUCACAUGCCGCAAUUGCCUAGCAGAGACAAAUUAGAGAACAUAGAAGCCAGCAUCUUAUUUUCUGGAACACAUGACCGACAUCAAAUCUGCUAACAGGAGGGAAGUGGAUUCUUGUUUAAAGUAAACAACCUUUUUUCUACCUUAUAUAUCGACAACAUUGAGGUUUGAUUUUGACAA